AUUGAACGCUGGCGGCAUGCCUUACACAUGCAAGUCGAACGGCAGCAUGAUCUAGCUUGCUAGAUUGAUGGCGAGUGGCGAACGGGUGAGUAAUACAUCGGAACGUGCCCUGUAGUGGGGGAUAACUAGUCGAAAGAUUAGCUAAUACCGCAUACGACCUGAGGGUGAAAGUGGGGGACCGCAAGGCCUCAUGCUAUAGGAGCGGCCGAUGUCUGAUUAGCUAGUUGGUGGGGUAAAGGCCCACCAAGGCGACGAUCAGUAGCUGGUCUGAGAGGACGAUCAGCCACACUGGGACUGAGACACGGCCUAGACUCCUACGGGAGGCAGCAGUGGGGAAUUUUGGACAAUGGGGGCAACCCUGAUCCAGCAAUGCCGCGUGUGUGAAGAAGGCCUUCGGGUUGUAAAGCACUUUUGUCCGGAAAGAAAUCGCACUUACUAAUAUUAGGUGUGGAUGACGGUACCGGAAGAAUAAGGACCGGCUAACUACGCGCCAGCCGCCGCGGUAA
rnacentral:rRNA from 1 species